CUAUGGACUUAAUUGGAUUGAGCCUUAAUGUGGAAACCUAUUAAGUGAUAACUUUCAAAUUCAGGGAAACCCUGGAAUAAAAAAUGGGCAAUCCUGAGCCAAAUCCUGUUUUCCGAAAACAACCAAGGGUUCAGAAAACGAUAAUAAAAAAAGGAUAGGUGCAGAGACUCAAUGGAAGCUGUUCUAACAAAAACAAAUGGAGGACCCACAUUGAGAUUCGCAUGAGCUGCAAGUUGCAGGCAAAUUCACCGCUGAUUAAGGAAGUGUAGCAGCCUGAUGUUUAGUGAAAAUGAUACAGCGG
rnacentral:ncRNA from 1 species